rnacentral:rRNA from 1 species
CGCGUAGGCGGCGGACCUUGUCGAGUGUGAAAGCCCCGGGCUCAACCUGGGAGGUGCGCUCGAGACGGGUUUGCUGGAGUUCGGGAGAGGAGAGUGGAAUUCCCAGUGUAGAGGUGAAAUUCGUAGAUAUUGGGAAGAACACCGGUGGCGAAGGCGGCUCUCUGGACCGAGACUGACGCUGAGGCGCGAAAGCGUGGGGAGCAAACAGGAUUAGAUACCCUGGUAGUCCACGCUGUAAACGAUGUGUGCUAGACGUUGGGGAGCGUAGCUCUUCGGUGUCGCCGCAAAACGCUUUAAGCACACCGCCUGGGGAGUACGGCCGCAAGGUUAAA